UAUUUCAGAAAGAAUUGGGACCUCGAGACCCCAAAUCAGGAAGAAAAUGGACGGAGGAAGAGGGGUGAAAAAAGUUAUUUUUUAACGAUUUGUGAGCCGAAAAGGGGUAUUGCCCAUACAGUGAGAAACCCCGCACUGGCCCUUUCAAUUUCG
rnacentral:sRNA from 12 species